ensembl:snoRNA small nucleolar RNA SNORA42/SNORA80 family
GCAGGAAUUUGGAUUUAUGGUAAGCUUGUCACCCUGUGCCUCUCAUAGUGUCUCAUGCUAGAGCAAACUCAUUACUUGACCUCUGUGACUGUAGGCUGCUGGCACUGAAGUCACACAGUG